UAAUCUCACACCCCUAGAUUUAUUUCGAAAGGGCGGUGGACUUGGAUGCUGCCGCGUCAAAGCGGCUCGUCUUAAAUGCAUUAGUGCAACUUUCGGUUGGACAUAGUACAGCGUGAUAAGUAUCUUCGCUGGCUCUCCUCACGGAGGUGUUCGAACGGUAAGCUCUGUGCUUCUAAUCGUCCCCUGGUGGACUAAGCUUCGGCUCAUUUGACA
rnacentral:misc_RNA from 1 species